rnacentral:rRNA from 1 species
AGAGUUUGAUCCUGGCUCAGGACGAACGCUGGCGGCACGCUUAACACAUGCAAGUCGAACGAGAGAAGAGGAGCUUGCUUUUCUGAUCUAGUGGCGGACGGGUGAGUAACACGUGAGCAAUCUGCCUUUCAGAGGGGGAUACCGAUUGGAACCGAUCGUUAAUACCGCAUAACAUAAUUGAACCGCAUGAUUUGAUUAUCAAAGAUUUAUCGCUGAAAGAUGAGCUCGCGUCUGAUUAGCUAGUUGGUAAGGUAACGGCUUACCAAGGCGACGAUCAGUAGCCGGACUGAGAGGUUGAUCGGCCACAUUGGGACUGAGACACGGCCCAGACUCCUACGGGAGGCAGCAGUGGGGAAUAUUGCACAAUGGAGGAAACUCUGAUGCAGCGAUGCCGCGUGAGGGAAGAAGGUUUUAGGAUUGUAAACCUCUGUCUUCAGGGACGAAAAAAGACGGUACCUGAGGAGGAAGCUCCGGCUAACUACGUGCCAGCAGCCGCGGUAAUACGUAGGGAGCGAGCGUUGUCCGGAAUUACUGGGUGUAAAGGGAGCGUAGGCGGGAUCGCAAGUCAGAUGUGAAAACUAUGGGCUUAACCCAUAAACUGCAUUUGAAACUGUGGUUCUUGAGUGAAGUAGAGGUAAGCGGAAUUCCUAGUGUAGCGGUGAAAUGCGUAGAUAUUAGGAGGAACAUCAGUGGCGAAGGCGGCUUACUGGGCUUUAACUGACGCUGAGGCUCGAAAGCGUGGGGAGCAAACAGGAUUAGAUACCCUGGUAGUCCACGCCGUAAACGAUGAUUACUAGGUGUGGGGGGACUGACCCCUUCCGUGCCGCAGCAAACGCAAUAAGUAAUCCACCUGGGGAGUACGACCGCAAGGUUGAAACUCAAAGGAAUUGACGGGGGCCCGCACAAGCAGUGGAGUAUGUGGAUUAAUUCGAAGCAACGCGAAGAACCUUACCAGGUCUUGACAUCGUAUGCAUAGCUCAGAGAUGAGUGAAAUCUCUUCGGAGACAUAUAGACAGGUGGUGCAUGGUUGUCGUCAGCUCGUGUCGUGAGAUGUUGGGUUAAGUCCCGCAACGAGCGCAACCCUUACUGUUAGUUGCUACGCAAGAGCACUCUAGCAGGACUGCCGUUGACAAAACGGAGGAAGGUGGGGAUGACGUCAAAUCAUCAUGCCCCUUAUGACCUGGGCCUCACACGUACUACAAUGGCUGUCAACAGAGGGAAGCAAAGCCGCGAGGUGGAGCGAACCCCUAAAAGCAGUCUUAGUUCGGAUUGUAGGCUGCAACCCGCCUACAUGAAGUCGGAAUUGCUAGUAAUCGCAGAUCAGCAUGCUGCGGUGAAUACGUUCCCGGGCCUUGUACACACCGCCCGUCACGCCAUGGGAGUCGGUAACACCCGAAGCCUGUAGUCUAACCGCAAGGAGGACGCAGUCGAAGGUGGGAUUGAUGACUGGGGUGAAGUCGUAACAAGGUA